CCUACGGGUGGCAGCAGUGAGGAAUAUUGGUCAAUGGCCGUAAGCCUGAACCAGCCAAGUCGCGUGAGGGAAGACUGCUCUAUGGGUCGUAAACCUCUUUUAUGCGGGGAUAAAGGGCUCGACGUGUCCCUUUUUGCAGGUACCUUAUGAAUAAGGAUCGGCUAACUCCGUGCCAGCAGCCGCGGUAAUACGGAGGAUCCGAGCGUUAUCCGGAUUUAUUGGGUUUAAAGGGAGCGUAGGCGGGCUUUUAAGCGUGCGGUAAAAAUUCGGGGUCCAACCUCGCAGGGCCGUUGAAACUGGGGGCCUUGAGUGGGCGAGAAGAAGGCGGAAUGCGUGGUGUAGCGGUGAAAUGCUUAGAUAUCACGCAGAACCCCGAUUGCGAAGGCAGCCUGCCGGCGCCCUACUGACGCUGAGGCACGAAAGUGCGGGUAUCGAACAGGAUUAGAUACCCGUGUAGUC
rnacentral:rRNA from 1 species